AUUGAACGCUGGCGGAAUGCUUUACACAUGCAAGUCGAGCGGCAGCGCGGCCUUCGGGCUGGCGGCGAGCGGCGAACGGGUGAGUAAUGCAUCGGAACAUGCCCAGUCGUGGGGGAUAACACUUCGAAAGAGGUGCUAAUACCGCAUACGUCCUGAGGGGGAAAGCGGGGGAUCGCAAGACCUCGCGCGAUUGGAGUGGCCGAUGUCAGAUUAGCUAGUUGGUGGGGUAAAGGCCUACCAAGGCGACGAUCUGUAGCUGGUCUGAGAGGAUGAUCAGCCACACUGGGACUGAGACACGGCCCAGACUCCUACGGGAGGCAGCAGUGGGGAAUUUUGGACAAUGGGGGCAACCCUGAUCCAGCCAUUCCGCGUGAGUGAAGAAGGCCUUCGGGUUGUAAAGCUCUUUCGGCAGGAACGAAACGGUGGGCUCUAACAUAGUCCGCUAAUGACGGUACCUGAAGAAGAAGCACCGGCUAACUACGUG
rnacentral:rRNA from 1 species